UCUUUUUACCAAAAAUAGCCUUACGCGUGUUUCCACGCGUCUCUCUCAUUUAUAUAAACUAUCAUCUCUCUUGCUUAUCCAACCUCUCUCUUCUACAUCAAUCAAUCAGUUUUCUAAUUUUCUUUCAAUCAUUGUAUCUCUUCUCCGGCGAAGUUUUUUUUUUCGCCGUUGUUUCUAUUUCUCGCAGUCAACAAGAAUUUUCAUCUUCUUUUACGGACUAUGGCGGAUCUAGAUCUUCCUGCUAGAUUAUUCGCCGAUCGAGAAGAAUAUGUGGGUGAGCGUGUUAACCAGUACUUCAAGCUACACAUGAUUAAAGCUGUCCUGAAGGCUUUACAACCGACGAAGCUUGAAUUGAUUCGGCCGUGUUUUGGGAAAUUGCUCGAUUCACAUCGCCAUUGUUUAUUCAUCGAAAAAAGAUAACUUUCAUUAUACAAAUAAGGAUGUAAAACAUUUUUGGGAUCUUCACAAAUAGAUCUACAAAGUAUAGAUGCAGAUAUAAGGAUAUUUGUGGAAAUGAGUCAAGAUUGAGAGAAAUACACUAUAAUACCAAAACAAGAAAUUUUAGAGUGAAAAGGAAGAAGACGAUGGAGCAUAGCCUAUGCAUGAAAUCAAUCAAACCAUGCUUUUUUCCUAGGAAAAAAAUUCGAAUUUCAUAAAAUAUUCUCAAUUACUUAAUGAAUUAAUUUAUCUAUAAAUUUAGAUACAUGUUCAUCUACUUUCAUAGAGUCAUAUAUCAAACUAUAAGUGCUACAUUUAUUAAUAUAUAUCUACGUUAUUAGGUUAGUGGUUUAAAUUUUCUAAUUUGCGUCCAUAAGUUUUUGUUAUAGAUUCAAAUGUAGGUGUCUAAAUACAUUUUCUAUUAGACAUGCAGAGAUGAAGUUCGGUGGUGGGCCACGUAAGGAUCAUUUAUUAGUUCAACUGGUUGGCAUUUAUGAAUUGUCAGAAUGUUAUUUCACUUACUCGUAAAGCCGUGGUUGUAGCGCCCACGCGCAUAUAUUUCACGAGCUCUGGUUUUUCUGUAAUAAGUAUGUAAAUCAGACCCAUUUUCACCAA